rnacentral:miRNA from 1 species
CUUGCAGCACCCUUUAAAUCAUUUGGUGCAGUUCGAGAGUUCCUUUGCCAGUGCAAUUGAUAUCGGACAAAAGUGAUGCUCCCGUUUGUACCAAAUGAAUCAAAGUAUGACAUGAAU